rnacentral:rRNA from 1 species
CCUACGGGAGGCAGCAGUGGGGAAUCUUGCGCAAUGGGGGAACCCUGACGCAGCAACGCCGCGUGGGUGAUGAAGGCCUUCGGGUCGUAAAGCCCUGUCAGGUGGGAAGAAACUUGUGGAUGUUAAUACCAUCCAUGCUUGACGGUACCACCGGAGGAAGCACCGGCUAACUCCGUGCCAGCAGCCGCGGUAAUACGGAGGGUGCAAGCGUUGUUCGGAAUUAUUGGGCGUAAAGCGCGUGUAGGUGGUCGUGUAAGUCAGAUGUGAAAGCCUUCUGCUUAACAGAAGAAGGGCAUUUGAAACUGCUCGACUAGAGUACGGGAGAGGAGAGUGGAAUUCCCGGUGUAGAGGUGAAAUUCGUAGAUAUCGGGAGGAACACCAGUGGCGAAGGCGGCUCUCUGGUCCGAUACUGACACUGAGACGCGAAAGCGUGGGGAGCAAACAGGAUUAGAUACCCUGGUAGUCCACGCCGUAAACGAUGUUCACUAGGUGUUGGGGGUAUUGACCCCCUCAGUGCCGAAGCUAACGCAUUAAGUGAACCGCCUGGGGAGUACGGCCGCAAGGCUAAAACUUAAAGGAAUUGACGG